GAUGAACGCUAGCGACAGGCCUAACACAUGCAAGUCGAGGGGCAUCGGGGUGUAGCAAUACGCUGCCGGCGACCGGCGGAUGGGUGAGUAACGCGUAUGCAACCUGCCUUCAGCAGGGGGAUAGCCCGUUGAAAGACGGAUUAAUACCCCGUAACACAGGGGCUCCGCAUGGAGAUUAUUGUUAAAGGGAUGCUUCCUUCGGGGAGUAUUCCGGCUGAAGAUGGGCAUGCGUUCCAUUAGGUAGUUGGUUGAGGUAACGGCUCACCAAGCCUGCGAUGGAUAGGGGAACUGAGAGGUUGGUCCCCCACACUGGUACUGAGACACGGACCAGACUCCUACGGGAGCAGCAGUGAGGAAUCUUGGUCAAUGGACGGAAGUCUGAACCAGCCAUGUCGCGUGAAGGAGGACGGCCCUAAGGGUUGUAAACUUCUUUGCAGGGGAAUAAAGUAUUCCACGAGAUGGGAUAUUGCAAGUACGCUGCGAAUAAGGAUCGGCUAACUCCGU
rnacentral:rRNA from 1 species